AUUGAACGCUGGCGGCAUGCCUUACACAUGCAAGUCGAACGGCAGCACGGGAGCUUGCUCCUGGUGGCGAGUGGCGAACGGGUGAGUAAUACACCGGAACGUACCCUGAAGUGGGGGAUAACGUAGCGAAAGUUACGCUAAUACCGCAUAUUCUGUGAGCAGGAAAGAGGGGGAUCGCAAGACCUCUUGCUUUAGGAGCGGCCGAUGUCGGAUUAGCUAGUUGGUGAGGUAAAGGCUCACCAAGGCGACGAUCCGUAGCGGGUCUGAGAGGAUGAUCCGCCACACUGGGACUGAGACACGGCCCAGACUCCUACGGGAGGCAGCAGUGGGGAAUUUUGGACAAUGGGCGCAAGCCUGAUCCAGCCAUGCCGCGUGAGUGAAGAAGGCCUCGGGUUGUAAAGCUCUUUG
rnacentral:rRNA from 1 species